GUCUAUGGCCAUACCACCCUGAAUGUACCUGAUCUCGUCUGAUCUCGGAAGCUAAGCAGGGUCGGGCCUGGUGAGUACUUGGAUGGGAGACCUCCUGGGAAUAGCGGGUGCUGUAGGCU
ensembl:rRNA 5S_rRNA 5S ribosomal RNA